rnacentral:lncRNA from 1 species
CAUAAGGCAAAAGACCAAAUUGUGGUACCUAAUUUUACAAAAAUAUCAUUAAAACAUAUCAAAAUUACACAUAAUGCCACUCCUUCUAAGGCAAGCAUACUAUGCCACAUGUCCAUAUCUAGCCAAUCAUAUCUCGCCGCCGGCCACCACUGCCGGAAUCCUGCCGCCGGCCACCACUGCCGGAAUCCCGCCGCCGGCCACCACCGCCGGACUUCGGCCGCCGGCCAUCACUGUCGGACUUCCGCUGCCGGCCACCUGCCACAACCACCGUUGGCCGCCACCGCCCGUCGCCGACCACCAUCGUCGAACUCUCGCCGCCGGCCACCUGCCACCACCACCGUUGGCUGCCAUCGCCUGCCACUGUCUGUAGAUGACCAACUCCGUUGCCCUUUAUUCACCUUUAAAAAAAAGAUUGUGUCAUUAAAUGUACUCGAACCUUGACCCUCAAAGGAGGAAGGCUCACUCACAAACCACUACACCAAACUUGAUUUUGAAAUAUUUAUUCAAUUAUACAAUAUUUAUAUAAACAAUCAAUGGUUUAUCAAAAAAAAAGGAAAAUUAGGUAUUAGACAUAAUUAUCUUUACUAAUUAGUAUUUGAGACAAACAGUAUUUCUGUUUUGAUUUUAAUACCAAGGAAUUGAAUUUUGUUUGGAUUUGGCCAAAGUGGAGACCCAAAUUCGUUGGCCCACCUUACAUUAAUCACUGAAGGGACAAUUAUACCCUUUUUAUUUAAAAGCCUGACCUAAAUUCAUUGCUCUCGCUCUCUCUCUCUCUCUCUCUCUCUCUCUCUCUCUCUCUCUCUCUCUCUCUCUCUCUCUCUCUCCGCAGCAACAACGACCACAUCGCCAUGAUCUGCGAUCAUCGAUCCAAGAUCGAGAGGUCGAUCUGCGAUGGAACUCUCAAACUGCUUGACCCGUGGCUCAUCCCUUUGACAUUCACCGACGACUCCAAGGUCUUCUAGCUCAAGAUGAAAGACAUUGUGAUUGCUAUCUUGCCGAGUUCAAGAUUGAUUGACUUACGGCUCCCUUCGAAUAACAAAGAUUAGAACAUCCAAGGUUCCAAUCUCCAGUUUUCGUGUAAUGUUUUUUUGUUAAUUGCUCAGAUCUUGUGAUAUUAUUUUCAUAUCAGACUUCACAUCAAUGUCAAGCCCUGAUAAUCUUAUGACUUGUGUUUUUCUCUCUCUUUGUGAAGCUUAUGAAAUUUGUUAUUUUAAGAAAUAUUGAACUGAUAUGGAUGCACAUUUAACUAGUGAUGUUACUUUUGUAUAAUUUUUUAUUUCUAUAGAAUUUCAGUCUUGUUUGUGGUUGGUGUUUUCUAUCCCUUCCACAUGUUCACCUCACACCUUUUAAUGAGAUUAUCCUUUUCUUUAGCCAGUAAUGGCUAGUCAUUGCUCUGAUAAGUAGGGCUCUUAAAGUGUAUCUUCGGGUACAGUUAUAUAUGAACUAUCACUUCCUCUUCCAAUUUGCUGUCAUUUCUUUUAAGUGAAAGUGGCUUCUCAAUUGGUCAUUUGUUUCUAUGAAUUGCUUAUUAAUUUUGUAUGUAACCUUCAUGUUAGAUUUUGCACGUUUGAAUUUUCAAGGCUUUUACGCUGCAAUCUUGGAGAAAGAUGAUUGUUGAUAUCUGUAGCAUCAAUCAAGUAGUACUGAAAUGAAGCUGUUUGUAGGGAGUCGAUUUUCCAGUUUUUCGUGUAAUGUUUCUUUUGUUAGUUGCUCAGUUCUUGUGAUAUUAAUUUCAUAUCAGACUUCACAUCAAUGUUUUGAUCUAUUGUUUAACUCUCCACCAUGCAUCCUUACUAUUUUUGUCGUUGAUAUCUAUUGUCAAUGGCCUUCAACCUCACCAAUUUGAAGAGUAGAGGUUACCCAGAUGAGGAAUUGGGUGGGCAAGAGAAGAGUAGAACUACCCAAGAGCAAGAUAACUCAAAAUUGGACUUUUGGAAACUGCUUUGCAGUUUUCAUUUAAUUACAAUUGGAUUUUUUGCUCUUUCCUUGGUAGAGAUACAUUGGAGGUUUUGCCCCGUAAUCCAUAGGUUGUUGGUUAUUGAGUUGUUAAGCUAGUGUUGAUUUGAUUCCCUUCUCUUUGUACUUGUGGAGUUUGCUAUCUAAAUUAUUUAGUUUGCAGCAAUGCAUAUUUCAAUUUUGUUUUGUUUCUAGCUAUAUUUUCAAUUUCGACCUGGAAACUUGAGAUCAUAUUGCGGUUCUUAGGAUAGAGAUGCUUGUUGUUUAUGACAUCACUGUCAUAUGAUAUUUUGCAAUACCAUUUAAGUUUUAGUUCAGUAAAAUUUUAUACAGGUUCUGCAUUAUAGUUUUGCACAAACUACAUUGCAGUUUCAGAAACUGCAUUGUAGUUUUGGAAACUGCAUUGCAGUUUUUGUAAUUACAAUUGGAUUUUUGCUCUUUUCUUGGCCUUCAAUCUCACCAAUUUGAAGAGUAGAGGCUACCCAUAUGAGGAAUUGGGUGGGCAAGAGAAGAGUAGAACUACUCAAGAGCAAGAGAACUCAAAAUUGGACUUUUGGAAACUGCAUUGCAGUUUUCAUUUAAUUACAAUUGGAUUUUUGCUCUUUCCUUGGUCUUCAACCUCACCAAUUUAAAGAGUAGAAGCUACCUAGAUGAGGAAUUAAGUGGGCAAGAGAAGAGUAGAACUACCUAAGAGCAAGAGAACUCAAAAUUGGACUUUUGGAAAUCGAAAACUGCAUUGCAGUUUUCAUUUAAUUACAAUUGUUUUUGUAGCUGUUUUCGUUUUUGUUUUUGUUUUUUUAACAUAAUUGAUAUCUACAUUAUAUUUUUGUUGCAGUUUCUGUUUUUAUUUGCAGUUUUUGUGUGAAUAAGUGUUGAAAUGCUUUUUUUUUUUUUUUUUUAAGGGAGCUUUAGUUUUAAAACACAAUAUAGUUUACUAAUUUGGAAGAUAGUAAUACAAUUUCAUCUAAUUAGCAUAAGGCAAAAGACCAAAUUGUGGUACCUAAUUUUACAAAAAUAUCAUUAAAACAUAUCAAAAUUACACACAAUGCCACUCCUUCUAAGGCAAGCAUACUAUGCCACAUGUCCAUAUCUAGCCAAUCAUAUCUCGCCGCCGGCCACCACUGCCGGAAUCCCUCCGCCGGCCACCACCGCCGGACUUCCGCUGCCGGCCACCUGCCACCACCACCGUUGGCCGUCAUCGCCCGUCGCCGACCACCACCGUCGGACUCCCGCCGCUGGCCACCUGCCACCACCACCGUUGGCCGCCAUCGCCUGCCACCGUCUGUAGAUGACCAACUCCGUUGCCCNNNN